rnacentral:tRNA from 1 species
GCAGGGAUGGCGGAGCUUGGUCAAACGCGAUGGACUCAAGAUCCAUUGGCUUAGGCCUGCGGGAGUUCAAAUCUCCCUCCCUGCA